CCUACGGGGGGCAGCAGUGGGGAAUAUUGGGCAAUGGGCGCAAGCCUGACCCAGCAACGUCGCGUGAAGGAAGAAGGCUUUCGGGUUGUAAACUUCUUUUCUCAGGGACGAAGCAAGUGACGGUACCUGAGGAAUAAGCCACGGCUAACUACGUGCCAGCAGCCGCGGUAAUACGUAGGUGGCAAGCGUUAUCCGGAUUUACUGGGUGUAAAGGGCGUGUAGGCGGGAAAGCAAGUCAGAUGUGAAAACCAUGGGCUCAACCUGUGGCCUGCAUUUGAAACUGUUUUUCUUGAGUACUGGAGAGGCAGACGGAAUUCCUAGUGUAGCGGUGAAAUGCGUAGAGAUUAGGAGGAACACCAGUGGCGAAGGCGGUCUGCUGGACAGCAACUGACGCUGAGGCGCGAAAGCGUGGGGAGCAAACAGGAUUAGAUACCCGUGUAGUC
rnacentral:rRNA from 1 species